rnacentral:rRNA from 1 species
GACGAACCGUCCGAACGUUAUUCGGUAUUACUGGGCUUAAAGAGUUCGUAGGCGGCCCGACAGGUCAGGUGUGAAAUCCCUCGGCUCAACCGAGGAACUGCGCUUGAAACCGUCAGGCUUGAGGGAGAUAGGGGUGAGCGGAACAGAUGGUGGAGCGGUGAAAUGCGUUGAUAUCAUCUGGAACACCGGUGGCGAAAGCGGCUCACUGGAUCUCUUCUGACGCUGAGGAACGAAAGCUAGGGUAGCGAAC